AUACAUGCAGUCGUACGCUUCUUUUUCCACCGGAGCUUGCUCCACCGGAAAAAGAAGAGUGGCGAACGGGUGAGUAACACGUGGGUAACCUGCCCAUCAGAAGGGGAUAACACUUGGAAACAGGUGCUAAUACCGUAUAACAAUCGAAACCGCAGGGUUUUGAUUUGAAAGGCGCUUUCGGGUGUCGCUGAUGGAUGGACCCGCGGUGCAUUAGCUAGUUGGUGAGGUAACGGCUCACCAAGGCCACGAUGCAUAGCCGACCUGAGAGGGUGAUCGGCCACAUUGGGACUGAGACACGGCCCAAACUCCUACGGGAGGCAGCAGUAGGGAAUCUUCGGCAAUGGACGAAAGUCUGACCGAGCAACGCCGCGUGAGUGAAGAAGGUUUUCGGAUCGUAAAACUCUGUUGUUAGAGAAGAACAAGGAUGAGAGUAACUGUUCAUCCCUUGACGGUAUCUAACCAGAAAGCCACGGCUAACUACGUGCCAGCAGCCGCGGUAAUACGUAGGUGGCAAGCGUUGUCCGGAUUUAUUGGGCGUAAAGCGAGCGCAGGCGGUUUCUUAAGUCUGAUGUGAAAGCCCCCGGCUCAACCGGGGAGGGUCAUUGGAAACUGGGAGACUUGAGUGCAGAAGAGGAGAGUGGAAUUCCAUGUGUAGCGGUGAAAUGCGUAGAUAUAUGGAGGAACACCAGUGGCGAAGGCGGCUCUCUGGUCUGUAACUGACGCUGAGGCUCGAAAGCGUGGGGAGCAAACAGGAUUAGAUACCCUGGUAGUCCACGCCGUAAACGAUGAGUGCUAAGUGUUGGAGGGUUUCCGCCCUUCAGUGCUGCAGCUAACGCAUUAAGCACUCCGCCUGGAGAGUACGACCGCAAGGUUGAAACUCAAAGGAAUUGACGGGGGCCCGCACAAGCGGUGGAGCAUGUGGUUUAAUUCGAAGCAACGCGAAGAACCUUACCAGGUCUUGACAUCCUUUGACCACUCUAGAGAUAGAGCUUCCCCUUCGGGGGCAAAAUGACAGGGGGUGCAAGGGUGUC
rnacentral:rRNA from 1 species